rnacentral:misc_RNA from 1 species
GAUGAAGAACGCAGCGAAAUGCGAUAAGUAAUGUGAAUUGCAGAAUUCAGUGAAUCAUCGAAUCUUUGAACGCACAUUGCGCCCGCCAGUAUUCUGGCGGGCAUGCCUGUUCGAGCGUCAUUUCAACCAUCAAGCCCCAGGCUUGUGUUGGAGCCCUGCGGCUGCCGCAGCCUCCCAAAACCAGUGGCGGGCUCGCUAUCACACCGAGUGCAGUAGUUUACUCUUCGCUCAGGGCGUGUGGCGGGUGCUAGCCGUGAAACCCCCAACUUCUCAAGGUUGACCUCGGAUCAGGUAGGAAUACCCGCUGAACUUAAGCAUAUCAAUAAGCGGAGGA